rnacentral:tRNA from 1 species
CGGGGUGUGGCGCAGUUGAUAGCGUGCCGCAUUUGGGAUGCGGAGGCCGCAGGUUUGAGCCCUGCCACCCCGAUCA